AUUAUGCUGUUAGAUGGACAGCUUGGAUUAAAUUGUGAAGAAGGACGUGGCAAGCUGCGAUAAGCCUUAGGAAGCUGCAUGCAAGCUUUGAACUAAGGAUUUCCGAAUACGGCAACGUAUAUAUGCCGAGAGGCAGAUUCACGCUGGGAAUUGAAACAUCUUAGUACCAGUAGGAAAAGAAAACAUAUGUGAUACCCUUAGUAGCAGCGAGCGAAAAGGGUAUAGGGCAAGCCGAAUCUUUUCUUGAAAAAGAAAAGGGAUGUGGUGAGUAGUAUUUCCUAAAUUAGUAAUUUGAAAUGAGCUGGAAUGCUCUACAAAAUAAGGUGAUAGUCCUGUAAAUGAAGCUAAUAUGGUAGCUACUUAAAAGAGUAAGGUCUCCUGGAUUGGAGGCACGAAUAUUGCAAAAUUAAUUGCAAACCCUAAAUAUAAAUUUAAUUCCGAUAGUGAACUAGUACCGCGAGGGAAAGCUGAAAAGUACCCUUCACAGGGGGUUAAAAGACUCUAAAUCUAACAGCUACAUGUAGUUACGGCUCUUAGGAGUCGUAACGUGCGUUUUGAAGAACGAACCAGGGAGUUUAUUUAUAUGGCAAGACUAAUAGAAAGAAGUCGAAGCGAAAGCAAGUCUGAAAAGGCACAAGUCAUAUGGGUAAGACCCGAAGCCAAGUGAUCUAAUCCUGAGUAAGGUGAAGCUUUUCGAAAGGAAAGUGGAAGCCUGAACCGGUCCUGCGAGCAUGCGGUCGGAUGACUUGGGAUUAGAGGUGAAAGGCCACUCUAACUUGGCGAUGGCUGGUUCCUGCCGAAAUAUGCCGUAGUAUAGUCUCACUUUAAUUGCAUAAAAUGUAAAGUACGGAUAGAGCUCGCAGAGCUUAUUAGCUAACGGAGCUCUUUCCAACUCAGAAAUUAUAUGUUAUAAAAAGUGGGAAUCAGGGAAGGUGCGUAAGUACUUUUCCGAGACCCGAAAAAGGGAGACUGUGGUUAAGGUCCCAAAAUUCAUGCUAAGUGUAUCAAACCUUGUCGAGAACCUAAGACAGAAGGGAGGUAGGCUUAGAAGCAGCCAACCUUAAAAGAAAGCGUAACAGCUCACCUUUUGAGGUUCUUGGCGGAUAAAAUGGACGGGGCUAAGCAUGAUACCGAUACCACAGAGUAACUCAGAAGAGUUAUCUGGUAGGCAGGCGUUCUUUUUGCACAGAAGCAUUUCUGAGAAGAAAUGUGGAGCGAAAAGAAAUGAGAAUCCUGGUGAUAGUAGGAUCAGGCUCGUCUGAGAACCGACGAGCGUCGAAAGGGCACGGUUUCCCCGGCACUAAUGUUUAACCGGGGGUUAGUCGGCACCUAAGUCUUACCUUAACUGAGUAAGACGAAAGGACAGUAGGUUAAUAUUCCUACACCUCCUAUUCUUAUUAAGUAUAAAUCAGUUUCAAGAUAAGCAAAGCUGUGAAAGCAGUCUUGAUGAAGAAAACUAUUUAGCGUAAUGCAAAGAUAUAGUUGAAUUCAUUCGGCUUAAGUUUGUUGAAUCUAGGAAUCAAUGAAAAGUUUAUACUUAGAGAUAGGUGGCCGUACCAAGAUCUAACACCAGUGCCCUAGCUUAGAAGGCUAAGACGUGUAAGGAUAAACUAGUUAAGGGAAUUCGGCAAUUUAGCUUCGUACCUUCGGUACAAGAAGUGUCUAUGUCUGUAACUUGGAAAUAUCUAAGUAGCAGAUGUAGAUCGCAGUGACAAAGAUGGCCCGACUGUUUACCAAAAACGUAACCGAGUGCUAGGUUGAAAAGCUUUGUAUACUCGGUGAGACCUGCCCAGUGGUGGUGUCUAAAACUGCUUUACAAGGCAGCUAAGGCCCACUAAACGGCGGGAGUAACUAUGACUCUCUUAAGGUAGCGUAAUACCUUGUCGUCUGAAUGGCGACUUGCAUCAUUGGUUUAACGAGGUUGUCGCUGUCCCUAACUAGAGCCUUCCGAACUCACAGUCUGGUGAGAAAGCCAGAAACGCCUAGUGGGAAGCGAAGACCCUGUGGACCUUUACUGCAGCUUGCUGCUGUAGCUUUAUAAGAGAUGCUCAGAAUAAGUAGGAGCAUAGAUAUCUCAGCUCCGGCUGAGAUGGAGCAAAAGUGGAAUACUACUCAUCUCUAGUAGAGUUACUAACUCUUAGGAGGACAACAGUAGGUGGGCAGUUUGGCUGGGAUGGCACCCUACAGAAAAGAUAUCUGUAGGGCCCAUAAGACAAGCUCAUCCGGUUUGGAAAUCCGGAGCAGAGUGUAGAGGCAAAAGCUUGUCUGACUGUAUUUCAAACAGCAAGAAAUGCAGAGUUGAAAGACCGGCUCAUCGAACCAACCAUGGCUUUUAAUGGGCCAGGUUUAUGACAGAAAAGGUACCCCAGGGAUAACUGGCUUGUCGCACCCGAUAGUUCACAUUGACGGUGCGGAUUGGCACACCGCUGUCGGCUCUUCCUAUCCUGGCUGUGCACAAGCAGCCAAGGGUGUCGGAGUUCACGCAUUAAAAGGGAUCGUUAGCUGGGUUAAGAACGUCGUGAGACAGUUUGUAUGAUAUCUACUAGGUGUGUGUUGCCUGAGUGAAACGACCUUAUAGUACGAGAGGAACUAAGGUUGGGAGCCACUGGUCAAUCGGUUGUUAUUUAGCAGGCCGAGCAGCUACGCUCCAUAUGGAUAAGAGCUGAAAGCAUCUAAGCUCGAAGCCAUGCGCAAGACGAGGCAACAAAGGCCGUCAUAGAAGAUGACGUUGAUAGAGUCAGUGUGUAAGUACCAAGGCAACGAGGUAUUCAGCACGUGGCUACUAAAAGCCCCAUUACCAAAUUC
rnacentral:rRNA from 1 species